rnacentral:lncRNA from 12 species
GCUAGGGAAGCACUGGGUAUCUUGAGAGCAGGCACUAAUGGAUAGUCUCUUUUGGGUGUACCACUGGGUGACUCCAAUGUUUUCUUAUCUUUGUGUCACUCUGAUUAAGAUCUGAAUGUCUACAAGAAGGACUCUCAUUGGCUUAUAUAUCACAUAGACUCUCCUCAACCAAGGAACAACAAACACUGGAAAAGAUCCUCCCACAAGAUUGCAUGCACUGGGGAAGGAUCAUUCUCCAGGAGCAACUGGAGGAGAGGUCCUGUGAACAGAGGAGAGGGAAUGUGCAUGGUACCUGAUUCACAAGAAACACGGAGAAUGGGCUGAUCUACAUACAUCCUUCCUGUGCACCAAAUGGAAACAUUUGUCCCAUCUCAUCAGAUCCAGGAUCAACACCCCAUCUCAUCAGAUCCAGGUAGUAAGGUCUGUCACUGACCAUGGCUGUUAUACUUUACAUAAGUUGCAUCAUUUGAAAAUAAAUCAUGUAAUUCUGGAAGUUUUUGCAGACAAGCCCAGCAAUCCUGGGAGCACUGUGCUAAUCUUCAAUAGAGUUCUACAGAGUAAUGCCGCCACCAGUUCUGUAGACAUUUGUCCUCUCUAUAUUGUCCCAGAAAAAAAAAAAACAUUAAAUACUAAAUUGUACUUACACAGAAAUGAUAUAUUUGACAUCCCUCACAUUCAGCCAUAUUUUCAGCUUGCUAAUGUUUAAUUCUCAAAAUGCAUUGGUCACAACUCCCUCUUUGCAUUUGUGCAUAGACGAAGGGCGAUUGUCCAUUGACCAUAGAUGAUGAAUAAUAUCUUCUUUGGUGUGAGGAGAUUUCUAUUAGGGCAUGGUCACAACACUGAAAAAUAAGUGAACUAGUAGGCACAGAAGAGCUACUAUGUAAGGAUGAAGUCUUCGUUAAAAAACAAACUCUGAUGAACGCUAUGAUUGAUUGGUCAGUGAGAAAACUGGCUGAUUGGUUGGUUAAUGCAUUAAGUGAUUCAUUCCACACUUAGUUAUUGAGCACAACAUGCCAGGCACUGAUCCAGGUGUUGGUACAUGAUGGGCAGCCAAAGCUGACCCAAAUAAAAAAAUGACCCUACACCUUGGGAUAAAACA